AGUGAACGCUGGCGGUAGGCCUAACACAUGCAAGUCGAACGGCAGCACAGUAAGAGCUUGCUCUUACGGGUGGCGAGUGGCGGACGGGUGAGGAAUACAUCGGAAUCUACUUUUUCGUGGGGGAUAACGUAGGGAAACUUACGCUAAUACCGCAUACGACCUACGGGUGAAAGCAGGGGAUCUUCGGACCUUGCGCGAUUGAAUGAGCCGAUGUCGGAUUAGCUAGUUGGCGGGGUAAAGGCCCACCAAGGCGACGAUCCGUAGCUGGUCUGAGAGGAUGAUCAGCCACACUGGAACUGAGACACGGUCCAGACUCCUACGGGAGGCAGCAGUGGGGAAUAUUGGACAAAGGGCGCAAGCCUGAUCCAGCCAUACCGCGUGAGUGAAGAAGGCCUUAGGGUUGUAAAGCCCUUUUGUUGGGAAAGAAAAGCAGCAGGUUAAUACCCCGCUGUUCUGACGGUACCCAAAGAAUAAGCACCGGCUAACUUCGUG
rnacentral:rRNA from 1 species